rnacentral:rRNA from 1 species
GCAAGUCGAGCGAGAAGGUUAUGAAUGAUUCUUCGGAUGAAUGAUUAACUGGAAAGCGGCGGACGGGUGAGUAACGCGUGGGUAACCUGCCCUGUACAGAGGAAUAGCCAUUGGAAACGAUGAUUAAUGCCUCAUAAGACUACGAGAUCACCUGGUCAUGUAGUAAAAACUCCGGUGGUACAGGAUGGACCCGCGUUAGAUUAGUUAGUUGGUGAGGUAACGGCUCACCAAGACGACGAUCUAUAGCCGACCUGAGAGGGUGAUC